GAUGAACGCUAGCGGCAGGCCUAAUACAUGCAAGUCGAACGGUCCGCUUCGGCGGAUAGUGGCGCACGGGUGCGUAACACGUAUGCAACCUACCUUACAUUGGGGGAUAGCCUUUCGAAAGGGAGAUUAAUACCGCAUAAGACAGUAGCUGGGCAUCCAGUAGCUGUUAAAGAUUUAUCGAUGUAAGCUGGGCAUGCGUCCAAUUAGUUAGUUGGUGAGGUAACGGCUCACCAAGACGAUGAUUGGUAGGGGAACUGAGAGGUCAAUCCCCCACACUGGCACUGAGAUACGGGCCAGACUCCUACGGGAGGCAGCAGUAGGGAAUAUUGGGCAAUGGACGCAAGUCUGACCCAGCCAUACCGCGUGCAGGAAGAAGGCGUUCUGCGUUGUAAACUGCUUUUAUAUAGGAAGAAACGACCCUUGCGAGGGGCAUUGACGGUAUUAUAUGAAUAAGCACCGGCUAACUCCGUGCCAGCCGCCGCAGUAAUAC
rnacentral:rRNA from 1 species